UGUGUGUGUGUGUGUGUGUGUGUGUGUGUGUGUGACUGUGUGUGUGUGAAUGGGAGAGAAGAAAACAGAAUGGACUUCAUCUCAUAGUGGAACUAAAACCAAAGUUUACACUCAACACCUGGACCUGUCUAGUUGUCAAUCCCCCCAGCCCCUCUCCAAUGCUGGCAAAUCAAACUGACCACACACACUCACCCACUCACACACACACUCACUCACUCAUGCAUACACACAGAUCUACUGACUCCACUUUCACAUAGAUUGACUCCAUCUUGUGCAUAGAGACAAACUGACCUAUAUACGCUCGUUUGUUAGUGACGCAUACUGAAACCAGAAGACCCUGUUCUGCCAAGUACGGUGUUAACGGUGCCAUGACAACCAUUAACCUGAGCCCUUAUCUCUGAGGGCCUUGUUUAUUUUCUGUUUAUUUUCUAUUUGUUUUGCCUUUUUCUGUUCUCACUGUCAGCCUUGUAAACAAGUAUAGAUAAACUCACAGACCGGCAGAUGCAGAGUACAGACUUCGAGGUAGAGGCAUACUGUCACGACUCGACCAGUGGUCGUUGUGUUGACGUGUAUCAUCAGAAGGCUCGGCACCAAAAUCCAUCCAAGGCUCGUUUGCGUGAAGCUCUCCAUUGUACAGUUGCUAGAAAAUCAUGUUAAUUUGUAUCAUAGAUGACAGCGCAUGUACAUGAAUGUAUAAAUCCAUGAUUUUUGUAUCAUUUUUGUAGAUGACUGUAGGUGAGUGUGAAGUUUGUCUGGCGCGUUCUUUGAUUCGGUGCGGUGGAGACCAGUGUUGUCUUUUGUUAUCUUUUGUUCUAAGCCCCGCCCCUGACCCCACCCCUUCCACAAGCUCCAAUCAGAAGCCACUUUUCUGAGGGCCGAGAGUAGCGGAUUGGUGGACGCAGGGUUGGGGUUCAUCUGGCCUUUUAAAAGCUGCACCCUGUAAUUUAUUUUUUAAAAGUUGAUUAAAAUACAUAUUUUAAAUUUA